rnacentral:lncRNA from 10 species
AGACAAUGUUCCUUCUUUGUCGACUGAGGAUUGAAUGGGGACUCGUGAGACCUCAGGAUGCUGCUGGUGACAUGACCCAGAAUAUCAGUUUACUCCAUGGUAAUUAACAAAACCAAUAUUUUAAUAUCAAAACUAGCCAGCCACAUUAGGGAGUGGAAUGUAACAUCUGAAUUAAUUUUCAGAUAAAAUGUCCUGUUCGUGGUGACAGCUUCAGGCUACACUGCAGGCCCUGCACCCCGCAUUCCCUCUGGAUGCAGGAGAAGCCCCUCUUCCAAGCAGGCCACAUCCCACAGGGCAACCAGGCCCAGGGCCAGGGCCUCCUGAGGGACAGACUGAGAGGUGCCCAGUGAGCCCGCCAUGGAAAUCACUGAUAAGGAUGGAAAUGCAUCUCCCAGGGUGAGCCUGGAGAUUUGUGCGUGUGUGCACUCACACACAUGUGUUGGCCCCAGCCUGUCUCUAUCUGCCCGACUGGAGUGAGCUGGCCUGGAAGCGGGGUGGACAGACCGAGGCUUAAGUCAAGUUCAUAAGAAAAGCUUUUGAAAUGUGAUCGCCCAUGACCCUCCAUUCCACUCCUAGGAAUGUAUCUUCAAGAAAUAGAUAUGGGACGGGCACAGUGGCUCACAUCUAUCAUCACAGCAUUUUGCAAAGCCCAAGUGGGAGGAUUGCUUGAGCCCAGGAGUUCAAGACCAGCCUGGGCAACAUAGCCAGAUCCCUUCUCCACCAAAAAAAAAAUUGGCCAAGAGCAGUGGCUCACACCUGUAAUCCCAGCACUUUGGGAGGCCGAGGCGGGUGGAUCAUGAGGUCAGGAGUUCGAGACCAGGCUGGCCAACAUGGUGAAACCCCGUAUCUACUAAAAAUACAAAAAAAAAAAAAAAUUAGCUGGGUGUGGUAGCGGGCGCCUGUAAUCCCAGCUACUCAAGAGGCUGAGGCAGGAGAAUUUCUUGAACCCGAGAGGCGGACCUGAGAAGCAGAGGUUGCAGUGAGCCGUGAUCAUGCCAUUGCACUCCAGGCUGAGUGACAGAGCAAGACUCCGUCUCAAAAAAAAAAAAAGUUGAGAAGUAAUUACUGAUGGGAAUGUAGAUUCAGCUGCAAGAGCAUCUUUGCAGCCUGUUUAUAAUGGCAAAAAAAAGAAAGAAAGAAAGAAAGAAAUCAGAACCAUCCUAAUGCCCAUGGGAGGAGGCUGGCCAAGCCGUUGGUGCAACAGAUGACCACAUGGCCAGGAAGAAGAGCAAGCAUGCUUUAGAAGACCUGACCCGGGGAGGAGUUUAUCAGGCUGAUGUGGAGUGAGGAAUGCAUGUGGCAUGCUAGCAUGCGGGUUCUGUAAGCCUCUGUCUGUGUAUGCUUAGUAAAACACAGCUGAAGAAAGUCCACAAA